GGGGAUUUAGCUCAGCGGUAGAGCGCUUGCCUAGCAAGCGCAAGGCCCUGGGUUCGAUCCCCAGUUCCG
rnacentral:tRNA from 1 species